rnacentral:rRNA from 1 species
UACGUAGGGGGCAAGCGUUAUCCGGAUUUACUGGGUGUAAAGGGAGCGUAGACGGCAGCGCAAGUCUGGAGUGAAAGCCCGGGGCCCAACCCCGGGACUGCAUUGGAAACUGGCAGGCUGGAGUGCCGGAGAGGCAGGCGGAAUUCCUAGUGUAGCGGUGAAAUGCGUAGAUAUUAGGAGGAACACCAGUGGCGAAGGCGGCCUGCUGGACGAUGACUGACGUUGAGGCUCGAAAGCGUGGGGAGCAAACAGG